CACGUAGGGAGCAAGCGUUGUCCGGAUUUAUUGGGCGUAAAGAGCUCGUAGGCGGUUCAGUAAGUCAGGUGUGAAACCUCCUGGCUCAACCUGGAGACGCCACCUGAUACUGCUGUGACUUGAGUCCGGUAGGGGAGCGUGGAAUUCCUGGUGUAGCGGUGGAAUGCGCAGAUAUCAGGAGGAACACCGGUGGCGAAGGCGGGUCUCUGGGCAGUAACUGACGCUGAGGAGCGAAAGCGUGGGGAGCGAACAGG
rnacentral:rRNA from 1 species